rnacentral:rRNA from 1 species
GUGGGGAAUAUUGGACAAUGGGCGAAAGCCUGAUCCAGCCAUGCCGCGUGUGUGAAGAAGGUCUUCGGAUUGUAAAGCACUUUAAGUUGGGAGGAAGGGCAGUAAGUUAAUACCUUGCUGUUUUGACGUUACCAACAGAAUAAGCACCGGCUAACUUCGUGCCAGCAGCCGCGGUAAUACGAAGGGUGCAAGCGUUAAUCGGAAUUACUGGGCGUAAAGCGCGCGUAGGUGGUUUUGUAAGUUGGAGGUGAAAUCCCCGGGCUCAACCUGGGAACUGCCUCCAAAACUACUGAGCUAGAGUACGGUAGAGGGUAGUGGAAUUUCCUGUGUAGCGGUGAAAUGCGUAGAUAUAGGAAGGAACACCAGUGGCGAAGGCGACUACCUGGACUGAUACUGACACUGAGGUGCGAAAGCGUGGGGAGCAAACAGGAUUAGAUACCCCUGUAGUCC